AUGCGACAGUUGCAUCGUAGCAACAACUUACCAUGGCUGCUGAUCGGUGAUCUGAAUGAGAUCCAAUAUCUACAUGAGAAAGAGGGUGGAAAUCCAAGACCAAUCCAUUACAUGCAGGCUUUUCAAGAGGCAAUAGAUGACUGUGAAUUGCAUGACAUGGGGUAUAUUGGUGAUCCCUUCACAUGGCAUAGAGGCAGAAUACGUGAAAGACUAGACAGGGGACUAGCCAAUGAAGGCUGGUCGAUCUUGUUCCCUGAUGCAGCAUUACAAAAUUUGGAAUAUAAUCACUCUGAUCAUCGGCCCCUAUGUGUGGAUACAGACUAUUUU
rnacentral:rRNA from 1 species